rnacentral:rRNA from 2 species
UACAGAGGCCUCGAGCGUUAGGCGGAAUCACUGGGCUUAAAGCGCGUGUAGGCGGGUCGUUAAGUACCUUGUGAAAUCCCACGGCUCAACCGUGGAACUGCUGGGUAUACUGGCGAUCUUGGGCCAUCUAGGGGUUGCCGGAACAAGCGGUGGAGCGGUGAAAUGCGUAGAUAUCGCUUGGAACGCCAAAGGUGAAGACAGGCAACUGGAGAUGCGCCGACGCUGAGACGCGAAAGCCAGGGGAGCGAACGGG